rnacentral:rRNA from 1 species
GACGUAGGGCGCGAGCGUUGUCCGGAUUUAUUGGGCGUAAAGAGCUCGUAGGCGGCUUGUUACGUCGACUGUGAAAACCCGCGGCUCAACUCCGGGUCUGCAUUCGAUACGGGCAGGCUAGAGUUCGGUAGGGGAGAUCGGAAUUCCUGGUGUAGCGGUGAAAUGCGCAGAUAUCAGGAGGAACACCGGUGGCGAAGGCGGAUCUCUGGGCCGAUACUGACGCUGAGGAGCGAAAGCGUGGGGAGCGAACAGG